rnacentral:rRNA from 1 species
UUAAGUUAAUAAGGGCGCACGGUGGAUGCCUUGGCACUAGGAGCCGACGAAGGACGUGACAAACGACGAUAUGCCUUGGGUAGCUGUAAGUAAGCGAUGAUCCAGGGAUUUCCGAAUGGGGGAACCCAACAGGUAAUACCUGUUACCCACAUCUGUUAAGGAUGUGAGGAGGAAGACGCAGUGAACUGAAACAUCUAAGUAGCUGCAGGAAGAGAAAGCAAAAGCGAUUGCCUUAGUAGCGGCGAGCGAAACGGCAGAAGGGCAAACCGAAGAGUUUACUCUUCGGGGUUGUAGGACUGCAAUGUGGACUCAAAGAUUAUAGAAGAAUGAUUUGGGAAGAUCAGCCAAAGAGAGUAAUAGCCUCGUAUUUAAAAUAGUCUUUGUACCUAGCAGUAUCCUGAGUACGGCGGGACACGUGAAAUCCCGUCGGAAUCUGGGAGGACCAUCUCCCAACCCUAAAUACUCCCUAGUGACCGAUAGUGAACCAGUACCGUGAGGGAAAGGUGAAAAGCACCCCGGGAGGGGAGUGAAAUAGAACCUGAAACCGUGUGCCUACAACAAGUUCGAGCCCGUUAAUGGGUGAGAGCGUGCCUUUUGUAGAAUGAACCGGCGAGUUACGUUAUGAUGCGAGGUUAAGUUGAAGAGACGGAGCCGUAGGGAAACCGAGUCUGAAUAGGGCGCCUUAGUAUCAUGACGUAGACCCGAAACCAUGUGACCUACCCAUGAGCAGGUUGAAGGUGCGGUAAGACGCACUGGAGGACCGAACCAGGGCACGUUGAAAAGUGCUUGGAUGACUUGUGGGUAGCGGAGAAAUUCCAAACGAACUUGGAGAUAGCUGGUUCUCUCCGAAAUAGCUUUAGGGCUAGCGUCGACAUUAGAGAUUCUUGGAGGUAGAGCACUGUUUGGGUGAGGGGUCCAUCCCGGAUUACCAAUCUCAGAUAAACUCCGAAUGCCAAUGAAUUAUGGUCGGCAGUCAGACUGCGAGUGCUAAGAUCCGUAGUCGAAAGGGAAACAGCCCAGACCACCAGCUAAGGUCCCAAAAUAAUUGUUAAGUGGAAAAGGAUGUGGGGUUGCACAGACAACUAGGAUGUUAGCUUAGAAGCAGCUAUUCAUUCAAAGAGUGCGUAAUAGCUCACUAGUCGAGUGACCCUGCGCCGAAAAUGUACCGGGGCUAAAACAAUUUACCGAAGCUGUGGAUACCUUUAUAGGUAUUGUAGGAGAGCGUUCUAUGUGUGAUGAAGGUAUACCGUGAGGAGUGCUGGAACGCAUAGAAGUGAGAAUGCCGGUAUGAGUAGCGAAAGACAGGUGAGAAUCCUGUCCACCGUAAGACUAAGGUUUCCAGGGGAAGGCUCGUCCGCCCUGGGUUAGUCGGGACCUAAGGAGAGACCGAAAGGUGUAUCCGAUGGACAACAGGUUGAUAUUCCUGUACUAGAGUAUGUAGUGAUGGAGGGACGCAGUAGGCUAACUAAAGCAGACGAUUGGAAGAGUCUGUCUAAGCAGUGAGGUGUGAAUUGAGUCAAAUGCUUAAUUCUAUAACAUUGAGCUGUGAUGGGGAGCGAAGUUUAGUAGCGAAGUUAGUGACGUCACACUGCCAAGAAAAGCUUCUAGCGUUUAAACAUACUCUACCCGUACCGCAAACCGACACAGGUAGUCGAGGCGAGUAGCCUCAGGUGAGCGAGAGAACUCUCGUUAAGGAACUCGGCAAAAUGACCCCGUAACUUCGGGAGAAGGGGUGCUGACUUAAAGUCAGCCGCAGUGAAUAGGCCCAAGCAACUGUUUAUCAAAAACACAGCUCUCUGCUAAAUCGUAAGAUGAUGUAUAGGGGGUGACGCCUGCCCGGUGCUGGAAGGUUAAGAGGAGUGCUUAGCGUAAGCGAAGGUAUGAAUUGAAGCCCCAGUAAACGGCGGCCGUAACUAUAACGGUCCUAAGGUAGCGAAAUUCCUUGUCGGGUAAGUUCCGACCCGCACGAAAGGCGUAAUGAUUUGGGCACUGUCUCAACGAGAGACUCGGUGAAAUUUUAGUACCUGUGAAGAUGCAGGUUACCCGCGACAGGACGGAAAGACCCCAUGGAGCUUUACUGCAGUUUGAUAUUGAGUGUCUGUACCACAUGUACAGGAUAGGUAGGAGUCUAAGAGAUCGGGACGCCAGUUUCGAAGGAGACGCUGUUGGGAUACUACCCUUGUGUUAUGGCCACUCUAACCCAGAUAGGUGAUCCCUAUCGGAGACAGUGUCUGACGGGCAGUUUGACUGGGGCGGUCGCCUCCUAAAAGGUAACGGAGGCGCCCAAAGG